GGACAUGUGGCCGAGUGGUUAUGGCGUGUGACUCAAGAUAUCGUCUUGUCAGCUAAACGCUGAAUUUAUUCUCAUGGGCUUUGCCCGCAGGGGUUCGAAUCCCCUCGUGUUCA
rnacentral:tRNA from 1 species